ensembl:misc_RNA Metazoa_SRP Metazoan signal recognition particle RNA
GCUGGGUGCGGUGGCGUGUGCCUGUAGUCCCAGCUACCCGGGAGGCUGAGGUGGUAGGAUUGCCUGAGCCCAGGAGUUCAGGGCUGUAGUGUGCUAUGCCGAUCAGGUGUUUGCACUAAGUUGGGCAUCAAUAUGGUGACCUUCUGGAAGCAGGGGACCACCAAGUUGCCUAAGGAGGGGUAAACUGGCCCAGGUUGGAAAUGGAGCAGGUCAAAACUCCUGUGCUGAUCAGGAGUGUGAUUGCACCUAUGAAUAGCCACUGCUCUCCAGCCUGGGCAACAUAGCGAGACCCCCAUCUGUU